UACGUAGGGUGCAAGCGUUAAUCGGAAUUACUGGGCGUAAAGCGUGCGCAGGCGGUUUUGUAAGUCUGGCGUGAAAGCCCCGGGCUCAACCUGGGAAUUGCGAUGGAGACUGCAAGGCUUGAAUCUGGCAGAGGGGGGUAGAAUUCCACGUGUAGCAGUGAAAUGCGUAGAGAUGUGGAGGAACACCGAUGGCGAAGGCAGCCCCCUGGGUCAAGAUUGACGCUCAUGCACGAAAGCGUGGGGAGCGAACAGG
rnacentral:rRNA from 1 species